ensembl:ncRNA asRNA:CR46005 antisense RNA:CR46005
AAGCAAUGAGGUUUCAACAAGUGGCUGAUUGGGCAAGGGCACAUGGCCAGGUAUUGUGUUUCCAUAUGUAAUAGCUUGUCUCAUAACGUCCUCGUUCAACCGGAUGUUCAAUGGCCGAUAAACCGGCGGUGAAGCCUUCUCGACCACGCCCACAUUGUAGUCGAUCUUUGUGUUGGCACUCGGAGUUUGCGAAUUGGAGGUCUGCGUGCUCACAUGUCCGGUUACAGCAUUCUUUGUUGUGUAGUAUGUGCUCAUUGCUAUGUUGAGACCAAGUUCGAUUGUUUUAGUGUUUGGUGCGUUCGUGUUUGUGUUGGAGGUUUGCAGUGUAUCUUGGAGCAAACCAAGACGACUUGCCACAGUCUGUGCAAUGGAUUCCCGGAAGGGUAACUGCACAUUCAGGCCGAUGUCUGAAGAGCCAUCGGGCUUACCUGGUUGAACUGGAGCCAAUGGCUGUGAAAGUGUGCGAAUUUCCGUCUUGGGAGGGGACUUUUUUAGGAAACAACCGGAACAGGCCUCCGAGUUGAAGUUGUACUUGGGCAGAGCCACCGGAGCUGCAGGAAGCAGGACCUUUGGAGUCGUUGUCACAGGAACACUUUCUGGAAAGUAAAUAAUAUUACAAGUCAUUCAAAAGUUCCCCUUGAUCACCUAUACAAUCCUCUGUUAGAAAUUUCCAAAUAAAAUGUAUUACAUUUAAAAACAAA